UCCAGUCACGGGGAGAAGAGGAGGUUGUGCUCCGGUUUCCCACUUGUGCUCUCUAUCCACUCACCGCUUCCUCGCGUACCCUGGCAGGUUUUUCAAUGAAGUAGCGACCUGGUAACGGCAACAAGGGAUGUUCUCCUCUCUCACUUCAUACAUAGCGAGCUCUUCUUCCCACUGACCGACUCGCGGAAUUACUACGCCACACCACAACACAAUGCAAAAAAUGAUGAUGGGACCGGUGUUGGCCACAAGUCUCACCUAUUUUGAGCAACAGAACAGCAGGUGGUUGCACACAGUCCAGACACUGGCUGGCUCUCCAACUCUGACUUCACACCCACCACUCAGCUAACUAACACACUACUUAUACAACAGCUGCUCUGUUAAUUAGAUACAAGAGGCUAUGAUUAUCAAUAAGUGGCUGAGAUUAUGGCAUCACUUCACUCACUCAAUCACUAACCCUAUUCUUAAGGACUACUGACCAAGGCUCCACACAGACACCCUUUCCUUUUGAAAAAGAUCAAUGCUCCUGACAUGAGGUUUGUGAGCAUCCUUUGGUUUUCACUGAGGAUUCUCUUAUGACCCCAGGACCACGAUGAACCUCUGGGCAGCACUACAUGCUACAUGAUCAUAUCAUGGCAUUCAUACUAUAAAGAGCACGGGUGCAGUGGCCAGGCCCAGCUUGAGGUCAGCUGCCGUGGGCUUCCCCAUUGUGCUGGAGGAAGACACAAAGUCCAGCAGGUCAUCCACUAGCUGGAAGGCGAUGCCCACAUUACGGCCAUACUGGAAGGCCACCUCCUGCAGGCUGUCAUCUGCUCCAGACAGGAUGGCCACCUGCAAACACAAGAGGUAUUGCAUAAGAGGCUCCAUGAAUGAGGACUGCACCAACACCAGCCAUCCCCCACCACCACACCGAGAGUACCAGAGCAAGACUGGCUGACCAGACCACCCUGCCUAGGUCAAGACACUGACUGACCUGUGAGAGGACCACGAUGACCUCCUCAUUGCGUAUCCUGGCCAGCAUGGUGGAGGCCACGGACAGGAUGUAGUCUCCUGCCAUCACCGCCUGCGGGACACCAAAUAAACAUCAUCCAUUCAUUCUUAUCAUGGUUUCCGUUAGUAUACAACUCAUACUGGAAGGAUACUAUGGCUCUCUUUAGUUGUACAUAAGGCUGCUGCAUGAACCAUGAAGGUGCUCUGGUUGCUCACAUGCACUGUUCAGUUUCUAGUGCCAAUAUUGAAGUAUUAAUGUAUAUAUAAUUUCUCUAUUAGUUAUUGUCACCAUCAUACACAAGCUUCACCAGGAUCUCAGCAGUAUUCCUGAAGGAAAAAUGCAAUAAGUCUUGCAUGCAAUUAUUAUGACUUACGUACCUAUGUACAGUAUACGUAAUGUAUAUAGAUUCUACCUGUGAAAGUUGGUCAAGUAUACUUAUGAUCUGGUACACUACCCGUUACUGUAACUAUAAGCAUGUAUUUUUCCUGCCAAAAUCUCGUAUUGAGUACAACACAGUAUGCUGCUAGACUCAUAAAUACUGAAAGGAAUCUGCAUUAAGACAACCUUGAGGAAAACAAUUAGGAAAUGACACGGUAUGCAAGGAGCGGCUCAGCACCACCGCUCAGUUGUGGAUCGGCACCCUCAUCUCGUCUGCGAUAUCCUUGGAAAUAAUUGCUCCCACAUAAUAGUGAAGGUGUUUGGUGGAUGACAUCAGUCGGGGAGUGGCACAUACUAUAUCUCAAUCCUUUAUUCCAUUGUUCCUCUUCGCCAAGUACUGCAAAACUGGUCGGGUACUUGGCCUCCUCUUCCUUCACCGGAUCUUCUUGGCCAUUAUUGUUGCUAUUAGUUAUCAUCAAAAAAUUUGGGCCUCUCCGCAUCUCAAUACGACACGGUCUGAUAUGAGUCACAAGAAGUCAUAAUAACGUAACACAAGGCAUAUGGACGCUUUCGCAUAGUCACUGUUCGUAAUGGUGACGUGAAAGACUUCUUUCUGUCAUCGUCUUCCGUAUUCAACACCUCUGAACAAAUUGCUUGCAUACACCAUGACGAGGCUUCACCUAACAUCCUCUGGCAUUGUUAUAUUGUUAAAGUGACUACUCUUGGUGUGAAGGAGCCGCUGAAACCCACAAAGCCUCGUAGCGUUAACAUCCGGGAAAAACACACACACACACACACACACACACACUUACGUUUCCCUGUGUCACUCUGGCUCUCACAUCACACAGGUAAGGCAAAGGCUGCCCUAUAUUUCGUGACAGGGUGAAGGUGGUGGUUGAAAAACGUGAUAAUCUGGCCACGGGAGGGGAAAAAUUGAGUGAUGGCACGUUAUUGCGUCAUGCGGCCUUUCGCGGGGUACAGGGGUGGGCUCUCUCUCUCUCUCUCUCUCUCUCUCUCUCUCUCUCUCUCUCUCUCUCUCUCUCUCCAUUUAUGAUACGCUGAUUACAACUUAUUUACAAUACUUCUAAACUUUCAGACAAAACCAUCACGUCACAACUCCAUCCACGGAAGAUAAAAAUACAUUCAUGACUCAAACUAAUCUUUACCAAGCCUUCCCCAUUUACCACCAUCCCGCCCUCCACUCUCCAUUCCCUGCCUCACCUCUACAAAUUAGCUAUAUUAUUUCUAAACUUCCAGGCAAAACCAUCACUUCACAGCUCCAUCCAUGGAAGAUAAAAACGGACAUGACUCCGGCCAAACUUCAUAGCCUCACCCGCCCUACGCUUCUCCCUCUCCCUGGUUCACCACGUCCCCAGCGGAUAAGCAUUCAGCUCCACAAAGGCCAUAUAACGCCCACUGAACCGGACUUGCUCUACUGGAAGGGAAAAGCGUGAAAGGCCCGCCGCCCGCAUCCGGCAGAGAGAGAGAGAGAGAGAGAGAGAGAGAGAGGGAGUGGGCGGAUUCUCCUUUCAUGGGGUUGCAUUCGUUAAGAUUCUAAGAUAGGAUUAAAAUCUAACUGUUGAAUCUACGUACGUUAGUUAUGGUUAGUUCCGGAUGCUACAUGCGGGAGUUAUUUUCCGGAGUAAUUUUCGUCUCACUUUCCCCGCGUGAAGUAAUAAGCUCUGCCAAGUCCUCUCUCUCUCUCUCUCUCUCUCUCUCUCUCUCUCUCUCUCUCUCUCUCUCAAGAACGCGCUUACUUGAUUUCUAGAUAAGAAUAAAGUUUACAAAAAAAAGUAUAAGAAAUAUCUAAAGGAAAUGAACACAACUAUAAGUAUGGUAGUAUGGAAAUAACAGAAAGAGGUACGGACAGACUGUUGUAAGCAAAAGUAUUAUCGGAGACUCCGUGAGGAAGAAAACGGAGUUUGCGUGUCAGUAAAGAGAGAGAGAAAGAGACAUAUUUACCAAGCGGAAAAACGAUAAAAGGCUGACUAACGAAUUGACUGAAUGAUUGAUUCAUUGGUAUUUUGGUCCCAUAACAACACAGUAACAGUAGCUCUAUGUAUGUGUAUGUGUGUGUAUUUACACUUACAUGAGACACACCAUUCAUUCUACGCAAUAUUCACUCAUGGAGGUUUUGUAGAGCGCCUUUCUUUGGUGGAAUGAAGCUUACUCACUAAGCAGUAAACAUCAACAGAGCGCCAUAAUAG